GAAUUUCAACCAGGAAAGGUUAUGUUGACGACCAAAAGGAUAAGAAUCACUUCAAGCCCUAGAAUUCCCAUCAAAACGUAGGACUUGCAAAUCCUCUGCAGGUCAAACUGCGUGGGAUCUGAGAGCAAAUUCCCCAGCAAAACACCGGGGAAUCUCAGCAAGCUUCUGCUCUGCUGUAGAACAUAUAGGGGAAUUGCUGGCAGAGCUCAUCAGUCAACGGUGGUUGUUGAAGAAGCCCUUGCUUACGUUUCACCUUACGGCUUGCUGAACUGAACUUUGAGAACUAUUCCUGGACUUGGAGUUUGGGGAAUUUGCCACACACACACUUCGAGUUUAGUUUUUGGGGUUAAUGUUUAAGAUCUAACAUUUUU